rnacentral:lncRNA from 1 species
GUUAACACUGAGAUGCAUAGGGCGUCAUGAACCCGAGGAGUAAUUUAACAUAAACAGGGGGGGCCAGUGCUGAUGGUGUUGGUCCCAAACGGUCUGCCUGCGGGGCCACCACGGGGAAACUCGAGCUUUGGCACCCGUAGCUAGUUCCAUCCGUCGUGUCCUGAGAACGAGAUACGCGGCUCCUAUCGGGAUCGUCGACACGCCGGGCGGCCUUGCUGGAUUAGUUUUACCUUGGACGAGAUAUCUUGUGCAUCGGAAUUCCGGUGAUGCUUUGGGUAAUCUCAGAGUUGAGGUUUUCCACUAGGGAAUCCGACGAGAUUGCGAGCUUCGUGAUUGAGGAUUUCUAUGCGGCUUGUGGUAAUUUGUGAUUGACUAGUUGGAGCACCCCUGCAGGGUUAAAUCUUUUGGAAAGCCGUGCCCGCGGUUAUGUGGCAACGUGGAUACUUUGUUUAACACUGGUUCUAGAUAACUUGAAGUUAACUUAAUUAAAACAUGCCAACUGUGUGCGUAACCGUGAUUAUCUCUUUCGUGAGUUCUUUCUCCGAUCGAGGACACGGU